rnacentral:rRNA from 1 species
AUUGAACGCUGGCGGCAGGCUUAACACAUGCAAGUCGAACGGAGUGGCGGACGGGUGAGUAAUGCUUGGGCAUCUAGCUUGUGGAGGAGGAUAACUACGGGAAACUGUAGCUAAUACCGCGUACCAUAGGAUGAGCCCGAGUGGGAUUAGGUAGGUGUUGGGGUAAAGGCCUACCAAGACGACGAUCUGUAACUGGUCUGAGAGGAGGAUCAGUCACACUGGAACUGAGACACGGUCCAGACUCCUACGUGAGGCAGCAGUGGGGAAUAUUGGACAAUGGGCGAAAGCCUGAUCCAGCCAUGCCGCGUGUGUGAAGAAGGUCUUCGGAUUGUAAAGCACUUUAAGUUGGGAGGCGUUACCAACAGAAUAAGCACCGGCUAACUUCGUGCCAGCCGCCGCGGUAAUUC